rnacentral:rRNA from 1 species
UACGUAGGGUGCGAGCGUUAAUCGGAAUUACUGGGCGUAAAGCGUGCGCAGGCGGUGCUGUAAGACCGAUGUGAAAUCCCCGGGCUUAACCUGGGAACUGCAUUUGUGACUGCACAGCUGGAGUGCGGCAGAGGGGGAUGGAAUUCCGCGUGUAGCAGUGAAAUGCGUAGAUAUGCGGAGGAACACCGAUGGCGAAGGCAAUCCCCUGGGCCUGCACUGACGCUCAUGCACGAAAGCGUGGGGAGCAAACAGG